GCGAGACACGUGGGCCGGUGGCGGAGCGCGACCGAUAAAACUGUUCUCGGACGGCGCCGGGGCGCAGCUCCCGGGCCGUCCGCCAAUGAUCAGCCAGCAGCCGCUGCAACCCCAGGGAG
rnacentral:sRNA from 12 species